rnacentral:rRNA from 1 species
GGAGGAAGGUGGGGAUGAAGUCAAAUCAUCAUGCCCCUUAUGACCUGGGGUUCACACGUGGUACAAUGGACGGUACAAAGAGGUGCAAGACCGCGAGGUGGAGGUAAUUUCAUAAAACCGUUUUCAGUUUGGAUUGUAGGGUGCAACUUGCCUACAUGAAGCUGGAAUCGGUAGUAAUCGCGGAUCAGCAUGCCGCGGUGAAUACGUUCCCGGGCCUUGUACACACCGCCCGUCACACCCCGAGAGUUUGUAACACCCGAAGUCGGUGGGGUAACCUUUUUGGAGCCAGCCGCCUAAGGUGGGACAGAUGAUUGGGGUGAAGUCGUAACAAGGUAGCCGU